rnacentral:rRNA from 1 species
GAUGAACGCUGGCGGCGUGCCUAAUACAUGCAAGUCGAGCGAACGGACGAGAAGCUUGCUUCUCUGAUGUUAGCGGCGGACGGGUGAGUAACACGUGGAUAACCUACCUAUAAGACUGGGAUAACUUCGGGAAACCGGAGCUAAUACCGGAUGAUAUUUUGAACCGCAUGGUUCAAAAGUGAAAGACGGUCUUGCUGUCACUUAUAGAUGGAUCCGCGCUGCAUUAGCUAGUUGGUAAGGUAACGGCUUACCAAGGCAACGAUGCAUAGCCGACCUGAGAGGGUGAUCGGCCACACUGGAACUGAGACACGGUCCAGACUCCUACGGGAGGCAGCAGUAGGGAAUCUUCCGCAAUGGGCGAAAGCCUGACGGAGCAACGCCGCGUGAGUGAUGAAGGUCUUCGGAUCGUAAAACUCUGUUAUUAGGGAAGAACAUAUGUGUAAGUAACUGUGCACAUCUUGACGGUACCUAAUCAGAAAGCCACGGCUAACUACGUGCCAGCAGCCGCGGUAAUACGUAGGUGGCAAGCGUUAUCCGGAAUUAUUGGGCGUAAAGCGCGCGUAGGCGGUUUUUUAAGUCUGAUGUGAAAGCCCACGGCUCAACCGUGGAGGGUCAUUGGAAACUGGAAAACUUGAGUGCAGAAGAGGAAAGUGGAAUUCCAUGUGUAGCGGUGAAAUGCGCAGAGAUAUGGAGGAACACCAGUGGCGAAGGCGACUUUCUGGUCUGUAACUGACGCUGAUGUGCGAAAGCGUGGGGAUCAAACAGGAUUAGAUACCCUGGUAGUCCACGCCGUAAACGAUGAGUGCUAAGUGUUAGGGGGUUUCCGCCCCUUAGUGCUGCAGCUAACGCAUUAAGCACUCCGCCUGGGGAGUACGACCGCAAGGUUGAAACUCAAAGGAAUUGACGGGGACCCGCACAAGCGGUGGAGCAUGUGGUUUAAUUCGAAGCAACGCGAAGAACCUUACCAAAUCCUGACAUCCUUUGACAACUCUAGAGAUAGAGCCUUCCCCUUCGGGGGACAAAGUGACAGGUGGUGCAUGGUUGUCGUCAGCUCGUGUCGUGAGAUGUUGGGUUAAGUCCCGCAACGAGCGCAACCCUUAAGCUUAGUUGCCAUCAUUAAGUUGGGCACUCUAAGUUGACUGCCGGUGACAAACCGGAGGAAGGUGGGGAUGACGUCAAAUCAUCAUGCCCCUUAUGAUUUGGGCUACACACGUGCUACAAUGGACAAUACAAAGGGCAGCGAAACCGCGAGGUCAAGCAAAUCCCAUAAAGUUGUUCUCAGUUCGGAUUGUAGUCUGCAACUCGACUACAUGAAGCUGGAAUCGCUAGUAAUCGUAGAUCAGCAUGCUACGGUGAAUACGUUCCCGGGUCU